rnacentral:lncRNA from 1 species
CCCAGUGAGUAGGGGGAAACACUGGGGGUGAUUGGCGUCAGAAGGGGACCCCACCUUUGGUAGACUGUGUCCCUGGGUCUCCACGGCCACAGAUAUUCCGAACUCGGUCCAGUCUAAUGUGACCAGAAGAAAAUGGAACUCGCUGUGGAAGAAGAGCGGAGCUCAGCCACUUUCGUCUGUGCAGGUGCCCUACAGAUGCAGCAUGGAAACUUUCUGUACCUGGGAAAGUGGCCCUGGGGACAAGAUUCCCCACUCUGAGCUUGUGUGUUGCCCGUCAGGGGAUGCCGGGCUCAACAGUUCUUCCAGCCUCAGUGAUUCUGAGGGGCAGAGACGUACCCUGCUGGGAGGAGGCAUCCUCGUGUGGGCCUGCUACCUGCUAUCAGAAACACGGGGAUCCUGAUGGUAAGGUGAUAGCAUCGUGCAAACUGCUCCACGCCACGCCAUGAAUCUGCACAGCCUUUCUCAGCCCGACUCAUGUGUUGCUUAAACUUAGGAAACAAUUAUUGUGUGACUUUCUUUUAGAUUUUCUUCUUCUUCUUCUUCUUCUUCUUCUUCUUCUUCUUCUUCUUCUUCUACUUCUACUUCUUCUUCUUUUUUUUUUUUUAGAAUAGUUUUCAUCUUGUCUGCAGAGUGAAUUCCAGGACAGCCAAGAAAGGCUACAGAGAGAAAUCCUGUCUCAAAAAAAAGUGACGACAAUGAAGAAUUUUUUAUCUAAUAUAUUUAAAAAUGUGCUCUCCCUUCCAAACUUGAUGGCUUCUGUGUAUGCUCUGAGACCCCAGCAUGCACUGCCCUUCCGGGGAUGGACCGCCACGCCCCGUCCCCUUCCUGCCUUGCACGCGUGCUUAUUGAGAAAAGCCAAGUGACUCAUGGCGGAUGCCUGUGCCCGUAUCUACACACGAAAUUAAGAAGUAAUCAAUAAGAGAUGUCAUAAGUAACUUCUGAUUUUAGCAGGGGCAGUGGUGCAUAGGUAAAGAUGCAAACCAUCCUCCCCCCUUAAAUAUUUGAUGAGACUCUAUUGAUGAUGAGACUCGAUUGACCCUUCCUAAAAACUGGAGUUCUGAUGACGUCAUCAAGAACUAUAGUUAAGAAAAAAAGAAAAAGAAAAAUGUCUUGUGCCUAAGGGACUACAAGUAAGCAAGUACAUGCUUAAGUGAAACGAAAGAAAUUUAAUUAUGUGUAUGAACAUUUAUACUAAAUGGUUUCUCCGGGAAGCCAAUGGGAAAUUACAGCUAACUAGAGCAACAGAAUAAGGUCUGUUGUUGAGGGUUAUUAGCCUAAUCACAUCAUCCAAUUUCACUUCCAACCACAAUUGUGCCAUUUGUCCAUGUCAAAAUAAAG